AUUGAACGCUGGCGGCAGGCCUAACACAUGCAAGUCGAGCGGAUGAAGGGAGCUUGCUCCUGGAUUCAGCGGCGGACGGGUGAGUAAUGCCUAGGAAUCUGCCUGGUAGUGGGGGAUAACGUCCGGAAACGGGCGCUAAUACCGCAUACGUCCUGAGGGAGAAAGUGGGGGAGCUUCGGACCUCACGCUAUCAGAUGAGCCUAGGUCGGAUUAGCUAGUUGGUGGGGUAAAGGCCUACCAAGGCGACGAUCCGUAACUGGUCUGAGAGGAUGAUCAGUCACACUGGAACUGAGACACGGUCCAGACUCCUACGGGAGGCAGCAGAGGGGAAUAUUGGACAAUGGGCGAAAGCCUGAUCCAGCCAUGCCGCGUGUGUGAAGAAGGUCUUCGGAUUGUAAAGCACUUUAAGUUGGGAGGAAGGGCAGUAAGUUAAUACCUUGCUGUUUUGACGUUACCAACAGAAGAAGCACCGGCUAACUUCGUG
rnacentral:rRNA from 1 species